rnacentral:rRNA from 1 species
UACGUAGGAUGCAAGCGUUAAUCGGAAUUACUGGGCGUAAAGCGUGCGCAGGCGGUUUUGUAAGUCUGUCGUGAAAUCCCCGGGCUCAACCUGGGAAUUGCGAUGGAGACUGCAAGGCUAGAAUCUGGCAGAGGGGGGUAGAAUUCCACGUGUAGCAGUGAGAUGCGUAGAGAUGUGGAGGAACACCGAUGGCGAAGGCAGCCCCCUGGGUCAAGAUUGACGCUUAUGCACGAAAGCGUGGGGAGCAAACAGG